rnacentral:rRNA from 1 species
UACGGAGGGUGCUAGCGUUGUUCGGAAUUACUGGGCGUAAAGCGCACGUAGGCGGCGAUUCAAGUCAGAGGUGAAAGCCCGGGGCUCAACCCCGGAACUGCCUUUGAAACUAGAUCGCUAGAAUCUUGGAGAGGUCAGUGGAAUUCCGAGUGUAGAGGUGAAAUUCGUAGAUAUUCGGAAGAACACCAGUGGCGAAGGCGACUGACUGGACAAGUAUUGACGCUGAGGUGCGAAAGCGUGGGGAGCAAACAGG